rnacentral:rRNA from 1 species
GGUAGCUAUGUUUCUUAUAGAUAACCGCUGAAAGCAUCUCAAGUGGGAAGCUAGCCCCAAGAUUAGGAAUCGUUUCUGUCGCAAGACAGAUGAAGACCCCUAGCAGAUUACUAGGUCGCCCGUAAGGGCGAACCUCGUCAGCCGCAAGGUGAGACGGGUUAAUAGGCGGUCGGUGGAAGUUCCGUAAGGAAUUAAGCCUAGCCGUACUAAUUGGUCAAAAGUAAAAAACAU